CUUUUUGCCAUUUCUUGGGCUGCUCCUGCGGCAUAUGGAGGUUCCCAGUCUAUAGCCUGGAGUCUAAUCGGAGCUGUAGCCGCUGGCCUACACCAGAGCCACAGCAACGCGGGAUCCGAGCCGCGUCUGCAACCUACACCACAGCUCACGGCAACGCCGGAUCAUUAACCCCCUGAGCAAGGCCAGGGAUUGAACCCGCAACCUCAUGGUUCCUAGUCGGAUUCGUUAACCAGUGAGCCACAAUGGGAACUCCCUGAAAUCAUUUUUCUUUCUCAGUGCUCAAGAAAGCAUUUACAUCAGAUCCAUUCUUCUUAGUGGAGUGAUUUUGUGAAGCUUUCCUUGAUGCUCCACCUCCACCCAAUACACCAACUUCCUGCCAGGUGCUUCUCCUACACACCCUCAGCCACAGCCAUUAUCAUUCAUUUGUAAUCAUCUGUUUUCUUGGAAGCAUCUUGCACUAAAUUGCAGGCUCUGGGGAAGGGACCCUUCUAUUUUGUUCAUCAUUGAAUGCCCUAUGCGGUGCUUGGCACACACCAGAUGCUUGAUCAAUAUUUGCUGAGUAAAUGAAUGAUGUUGUUCUUUUUCACUUUAUACCUACAGGAGCCACUGUCUCAGGAAGAAACAUGGACUCACUGAAGUCUUGACCCAGACAAUAAAUUUGUGAAUUUGGCAACUGUCAAAGCUCUCCAGCCAGAGGGAAUAAGGCAGGCCGUAUUGUGACAGCCUGCAGGCAUUUCUCCUGAUUUAGGAGGGUUUAAGGCAGGUCUCCUGAGCAACUGCAGAGGGCCGGGGGCCAGUUGGACCAGGGAAAAACCCAGGAUUAACUUCAGACCUUGACAUUUCCCUCCCUUCAGUGACUAUUAGCUCACGGCCUAAACUGUGAAGCAACUCAGGGGAAAUAUAAAUUAGAGCAAGAAACUGUACUAAAUCCUUCUCCUGACAACAGGCUGAGUGAGUCUGGCUUAUUUCUGAGCUGGUUCGUGCUCCCUGGUAUUGGGAGCUUUACCGUUUCAGACUGGAAUAACCUCGAGCAUUUUCCCCUCUCUUUGGUGAGAGCUCUGUAGCAGUUGUUUACAUUAGCUACCGUAUUUAAUUCAUGGAGGAGGGGGAACCAUGGGGGAAAGGAGUCAAAAGAAGGUUAAGUGGUGCUAAUGGUCUUAUUUGUUACUUAAUGAGCCCCAAUCCCAAUGAAGAUGACACUUCUGGUCACUACUAGCAGAUAUUACAUGGGGGGGGAGGGUUAUUUUAUUCAUUAGUUUUGACUUUUUUCCUUGUUAUAAUAGGAAUAGAAUUGUACCAGUCUAUUCUGAUUCCCUCCAUGAGACUAGGGGAGUAGUAGUUCUUAACUUUCUGACAGUGGGAUGGGAUUUGAAUCAGCACCUACAAGGGCUGGGCUCUACUCUCAGCUUCCGUCCUUUAUUCAACAAAUAUUGAGUACCUGUGAUGAGGCCUGGGAUUAUUCUAAAUACUGGGGAAAACAAUGUAAAAUAAAAGACACUAUGUUUCUGUUGAGAAAAAUAGACAAUAGACAUUAAAUAAGUAAAUUCUACAGACUAUUAGAAAAUGAUAAGUGAUAGAAAAGAAGGAUCGAGGUAGUGGGUAUGGAGUGUAAGUGGGCAGGGUGGUAGUCACAGUUUUUGUGUGUGUGUUUUGUCGUUUUAGGGCCGCACAGUGGCAUGUGGAGUUUCCCAGGCCAGGGAUCCAAUCUGAACUGUAGCCACUGGCCUACGCCACAGCCACAGCAAUGUGGGAUCCAAGCUGCGUCUGCGACCUACACCACAGCUCAGGGCAACGCCGGAUCCUUAACCCAUGACGGGAACUCCUAAAUGGGGCUCAUAUGGCAAGGAGCACUGGAAGGCACUGCAGGAACUUUUGCUGUAGGAGGAAUGGGGACCCCUCUGGAAGACUGAACAGAGGAAUGACUUACCUGAUUUUUCCUGGAAAAUCUGGUGGCUCUGGUGAGAAUGAUCUCUAGGGAACAUGGCAGAGAUGACUAGCAGGUGACCCAAACCUAUUCUUCUUCUGUCACAUGGAGAGUUGUCACCAGAAGCAGCUGGCCAGCCAGGGACCCUUCUUAGUGGGCAGUGUGGUCAAAUGCCAGGAAGACCACAGGGCAGCCUUCAGCCUGAGACCUGAAUGGCUGGCUGGUGGAGAGCUGCUUUCAAACACUGGACCCAGGGGUUCCUGCUGUGGCUCAGUGGUAACGAGUCCAACUAGUAACCAUGAGGACGUGGGUUCAAUCCCUGGCCUUGCUCAGCGGGUUAAGGAUUUGGUGUUGCCAUGAGCUUUAGGGUAGGUCACAGACACAGCUUGAAUCCCAUGUUGCUGUAGCUGUGGUGUAGCCUGGCAGCUAUAGCUCCGAUUAGACCCCUAGUAUGGGAACUUCCAUAUGGCUAAGGUGUGGCCCUAAAAACCAAAACAAACAAACAAACAAAAACCCAAAACAAAAAAACUGGACCCAGCCGUUGAUUGCUACAUAUGAAAUAAACUAGUUGUUCUUUAAGCCACUGAAUUUGGUGGUGGUGGGGGGGGGGUACAUUUGUUAUAGCAGCCAGCCUAUCCUAACUAAGAGAAAUACAGAGGUCAAGACAAAACCAGGAAGCUCUAUUAGGCAGCUACUGCAACCAGUCUGGGUAAGAGCCUGGUGGCUUGCAAUAAUGCGCUAGGAGAGGAGGUAGCACAAAAUGAAAUCAAAGUAUAUUUUGAAGGCGGAGCCCAGAGAAUUUUGUGACAGCUUGGAUGUGGGGUAUGAGAGAAAAGAAGGAAGCCAAGUUUGACUUCCUGGUUUGGGGGUUGAUACACCGUAAGUUUGGGAAGACAGCUUUAGGGGGUCAAUUGGAAAGGAGUUGCACUUGUGUAAAUCUGAGAUGUUUAUUGGUUUCCAAGAGAAGAUAUCGAAUAGAAAUGUGGUAUAUAAAUUUGAAGGUCAGGGAGGAUGUCCAGCCUGGAUAUUAACUUAGAGUCAUCAGUGCACAGAUUGAAGUUAAAUCCUGGGAUGGGGUGAGACCAGCAUGGGAGGGAGUAUAGCUACAGAAGAGGUCAAAGGACUGAGCCCUGUGGCACUUCAUCUUAAAGAGAUAGGGAAAAUGGGGAGAAAUCAGCAAAAGUGACUAAGUAGGAGCAGCCAGGGUGAAAGAAAGAAAAGCAGGAGAGUUUGGUGCCUGGAAACCCUGACCUGUUCUAUGUAGGGGUGCAGAGCUCCACGCCAAAGAUCAGAGCCUGAAAAAUGGAUCCUCGCCUCUGAGGAGCAGGAGAAAGACUCAUCAACUAAUGAGAUCCAGAUAAGCACAACUCUGGGGGCCUAUCAGAGGGCAGGAAAGAGCUUAGAAUGCCCUGCAGGCAGCGGUGGUAGGUUGGGAAAUAGUAGGAUUCU
rnacentral:lncRNA from 1 species